rnacentral:ncRNA from 1 species
AAGGAACUCGGCAAAAUAGCCCCGUAACUUUGGGAGAAGGGGUGCCCCCUCGCAAAAGGGGGUCGCAGUGACCAGGCCCGGGCGACUGUUUACCAAAAACACAGGUCUCCGCAAAGUCAUAAGACCAUGUAUGGGGGCUGACGCCUGCCCAGUGCCGGAAGGUCAAGGAAGUUGGUGAACUGAUGACAGGGAAGCCGGCGACCGAAGCCCCGGUGAACGGCGGCCGUAUAGUGCAAAGAUUUACCAUUUUACCUCUUCCUU